rnacentral:misc_RNA from 1 species
ACAAGGGUGUCGACUUUGCCUGUAAUGUGUCUUUUUGUUCGUCUGACGUAUUAAUUGCUUUUUUUCUGGCUUGUCCUCUUUCACUUAUCCUGUUAAUGAGGUAAGCCACAAACACGCACCGAGGAAACUCUGUUAGAAUAAAAGAAGUUGGACAGUAGAAAUGACAGAUUGUUUAUGUUUUCCAUGCAAGGACAUCAUGUAAUAUGAGUGAAAACAUGCCGAAUUGAUUGAUGAAUCAUUUACUAGGUAUUACUUCAAACACUGUUAUUGUUGAAUUUCCGCAAUAAAACUAAUUCUAACUA